rnacentral:tRNA from 1 species
GCCCAGGUGGCGGAAUUGGUAGACGCACUAGCUUCAGGUGCUAGCGGGCUUCAGGUGCUAGCGGGGGCAACUUCGUGGAGGUUCGAGUCCUCUCCUGGGCACCA